GAUGAACGCUGGCGGCGUGCCUAAUACAUGCAAGUCGAGCGAACAGACGAGGAGCUUGCUCCUCUGACGUUAGCGGCGGACGGGUGAGUAACACGUGGAUAACCUACCUAUAAGACUGGGAUAACUUCGGGAAACCGGAGCUAAUACCGGAUAAUAUAUUGAACCGCAUGGUUCAAUAGUGAAAGACGGUUUUGCUGUCACUUAUAGAUGGAUCCGCGCCGCAUUAGCUAGUUGGUAAGGUAACGGCUUACCAAGGCAACGAUGCGUAGCCGACCUGAGAGGGUGAUCGGCCACACUGGAACUGAGACACGGUCCAGACUCCUACGGGAGGCAGCAGUAGGGAAUCUUCCGCAAUGGGCGCAAGCUUGACGGAGCCACGCCGCGUGAGUGAUGAAGGUCUUCGGAUCGUAAAACUCUGUUAUUAGGGAAGAACAAAUGUGUAAGUAACUAUGCACGUCUUGACGGUACCUAAUCAGAAAGCCACGGCUAACUACGUG
rnacentral:rRNA from 1 species